AAUUGCUAACGCAGCAACACUGAUAGAGUUGUUGAAAAAUUUGACGUCUGAAAAUUCAGUGCAAUAUUUUUUCUGGCUCGGUGUCACGUCCGUCGAAAAUCAAAGUGGAUGUCUUUGAACAGUUAAGCGCUUUAAUGACUAUUGAAGAUGCAUAAAUAAAUAAACCGGUUAAUGCAGACACCUCCUCUGAACUUCUUUUUUCCUGUGCCCCCACUAUAGAAUCGUCGACCAACAAGUAAUGUCUUUAAGGUGUCGUUUUGAGUUUUGACAUCCAGGGGAACUCUGAGCCCAGGCACGUGAACAUCGACGAGACCUCAAUGCCAUCACCAAAUUCUUCUAGGGUAGUCAAUGAGCCAAUGGCACCACCGAUAAUGGCACUGGAGUCGUUAUAUGACCGCAUCUUCCGACCCAAAAAGCACAGUCAUAUGAACCAUGUGGAUGUGUAUGAUUCUAAUCUGCCAACUUCCGUGGUGCCGUCGUCGGAAGCAGAGCAGAGCAGAGGAGCAGAGGUCAGAAGAAAUCCAAACGUCCACCUCAAGAAGAGUCCUUGAAGAGGUUGAUAUGCUGUUGGGCCUAGCUAGAGACCAUGAAAGAAACGGGACGUCCUGUUUAACCUGUUAAAGCCCAAAAAUCUUACCACGCAGGCAAAGGAUGUUACAAAAAAGCCUCAUAUGAUAUUUUAAGAAUUACCUGGCAAAGUCGAUGAUGCGGAGCCGCAGUUGAGAAAACGUGUGCACGAUGAAUUGAUUCGCUUUGGCGUUUGGUGGGACGUUGAGGACAUCGAGGACUUCGAGGAAGUUUUUGACCAAUAUAUGACGGAGAAUACAAUCCAAACGACCCCUUGCCAAGUGGAACCAGCAAUAAGGCGAGCGUUUGGGCAGAACGUUGGUGCUUCCGCCCUUACCAGUUCAUCUGGAGUAGUGCCUCCAGAUGACCAUGUAAGGGCGGAUGCACCAACGUUAUCCCCAAAUGCUUCGCCGACUUGGCGUCAUAUUGCUCAUUCCACUUGGCCAAGAGUCGUUUGGCUUGCGGAACCUUUUUUCCGUCAUAUAGUGGUCAAAACUCUCCUCCAAGUCCUCGACGGUCUAAGACGUCCCACUAAACGUCAAAGCGAGUCCUAUCGGUUGCACAUUCAAAUGAAGUUUUGCAAACUGUUCUGCAUCUUGCAAAUAAACAGAAAUUUGGAUAUUGAUAUGGUUUCAAGAGCCUGGAUAACACCGUUUACAAUAGCUACAUAUAUGUGAUCAUGGUUUGUAAGCACAUGUUGGGAACGUUCCAAGUGUUUGCCAUGACCACGGUCUCAGCCGGUAUCGAAACCUCGAAGUCAAAAACAAACCGAUAUAUAAUCCAGCCUUAGAAUUACAAUGAAAGAAAUCGAAGAGAAAAGAAGAAGUAACACUAUAGUCGAGUGCUUUGG